UUUACCAGACUAUAAAGGCAAAUUGAAGCAAUUUUAGCUGCUCUUUCUUGGUUUACUUUUUCUUCUCGUUCUCCUUGUUGGAGGCUGUUUAGGUGCCACUGAUUGCUCCUCUCCUUUAGUCAUGCCUCCCAUGGAAGCUGAUGAAGCCUCUGCCUUUGGCUCUGCUUUUGGUUGUGGCUUUUGUUUCUUCAGUUUCAGUCUUCAUUCAACGACCCAAAAGUAAACCAUCACUAUCAAAUCUUUUAUGACUUGAUUUUACUUUACUAUGUUUUUUCUUUCAUGUUUGAAGCUUUCUGUUUAUUGAAUACUGUUGAUACCGUGUAUCAGUAGAGGUUAAGAUGGAGAGGAACCUCCAUUCAAACGAAAUGCCUAAGAUUACUUAAACUACGGGUAUGUUGAGUCAGAUCCCGAAUUGGGUUAUUAUAUAUUUUAUUAUAAUUAUAUAACAAAUCUAAAAAUAAUUCAUUCAAAUAUGCCCCUAGGUGUAUUCUUUUUUGUUCAACACCUUAAAGCAAGUAGACCUAAAUCUUUGACCAAUAUCAAGAUUCUGGAAACCUCACUAAUACAGAUCUCUUUUCCUCUAAUUCCCUUUUAUUCUAUUUGUAAAGAAUAAACAAAGCUAAAAAAGCCAUUAAAUUUAUAUUACCUUUUCUUUAUCUACCAACCCUAUCCACCCAUCCCAAUAUAUGCUUUUCUUUUUCAGCAAAAGACUAGACAAGCAGGAGAAAACAUGGUCUAAACCUAACCCUUUUCCUCAUAAAUUCUCUUUUUAUUUUGUUUAACAUAGAUAGUUCAAUAACUAAGAAAAUGAAGCAACAAUAGGUGGCUAUAUUAACCAUGGGUAAAACGAUUAGAAUUGUUUGUGUACAGUCUUUUUUUUCCUUUUUUGGCAAGAAGAAUUGUUUCUCUCUUAUAUAACCAACAAUAUGAAAACAUUAGUGUUGUUUGAAUCGACCCAAAUUAGUGGAUCAAUUUAGUUAGACUGAAAAUCAAUUUGAAAAAUGAAUUUAAAUUGAUUAGACUGAAAAUCGAUACGAACCAAUUGAAUUCACUAAAAAUCUGUUGAACUAGCAAUUGAAUCAGUUAAAUCAGCAGGCUUAAAUGCUUUUUUUUUUUAAAUUUGAGGGAUUUUUUUAUUCAUUUUAAAAGUUCAAGUACCCAAUUGAGUGCAAAAAAAAAAGCAAGGACUUAAUUGCUUCUUUUGAAAAAAUUUGAGGGUCUUUUUGAUGCAUUUUGAAAGUUCAAGUAUCAAAUUGAGUGAAAAAAAAAAACAAAAGCUUAACUGAUUUUUUUUAAAAUUUCAAAUUUUUUACACCCUUAAGCCUAAAAUUAUGCAAACAACAAAUCUAAGGAAGUCGAUGAUUCCUAGUGUUCACUUCCAUGUAUCCUCAAAGUUUGCUUUAGUGCUUCCAUACUAAAACUUUGUGAAAUGGAUGUGUAUACACAAAUUUUGAGUUGAAAGUUGAUUUGAAAAUUUGAAAUCAAAUUUUAUUGAUAACUUUGAAAAGAAAGUUACCAUCUUUGAAAUUUUCUCAAAUACAACAAAAUCUUCCUUUAUUCUUCUCUUCAAUUUGAGCUUUAAUCCAAUGAUCGUCUAACUUAAUCUUAGAUGGAUAUUGAUUGCUUCAAUUGUCGUGUUGACUUCCUCUUGAAACAAGUUUGAACCUCCUUAUUUCAAAAAAUUUCUAAUAGAAUUUAACUGCUUCAUUUGAUUGUUCUAGAAUAAUUUAAACUCUUUUAUUUAUUUAUUAAAUUUAAUAAAAGAUAAAAUAAUCAUUUAAUAUUAGUAUUUAAUUAUUUUAUUUUAAAUUAGUGAUAGUAUAAAUUUUUAUUAUUUUUCUCUAAAUUAAUUUAAAUUAAUCAGAGAAAAAUAACUAUAAUUUCAUAUUUUUUUAUUAUGAUAAUUCUAAUUUUACCUACGAUAAUUUCAACUCGACAUGUCAUGCCUUGUAACUGAUUAAAAGAAACCAAUUAAUUUUUCUUCAAACCCACAUGAAAAUAGACCCUUAACUCUAACCAGUAGGUCUCAUAGACCACCAAGUGAUUUUCGUUAGUCCCGGAACCUUUUAAAGCACCAAGAAACUUCUAAAUGUCGCGAUUGCAAACCCUAACCUUCAGACAUUAGCUUCUAACCCAAACCCUAAAUAUUAGUCGAAACAUUUGAUUAAUGCCCACCAAAUUAUUUUCCCCCACCCGUAUUCAAUAUUUAAUCUCUUGUAAUCAAAAUCUUAACUUCAACAGAAAGUGACCCGGACAUUCCUAACUCAUAUGGCUUUAGUAAGUAUUGACUUUCUCAAGUAUUGCAUCAAUCGAGUACACAUGCAUCCUCUAGAUUAACCUUAACUAGAAUUUAAGGUUUAUGAUAAACCUUAUUUAUGAUUAGUUUAGAACAUUUCUCCAUAGCCAAACAAUGCCUCAACACUUCCAGAAGAUCAUGGUCACAAAAAAAAAAAAAAAGAAUUAGGAGAAGUCAAAUUACGGUUGAAGUUAGAGUUAGGUUGAAAUCCUUAACCCAACAAGGAAUUGUGGCUUGAAUAGGUUAGAGGAAAAUAAUUUGACAAGUAUUUAAAAAAAAAAUUCAGUCUAAGGUUGAAGGUUUAGGAAAACGUUAGGAUUUAGGGUUUGAAUGAUUUUUAUUUAGAGUUAAUGGAUUUAGUAAAAGGAUUGAGGUUUAAUUAUUAUUUACAAGGUAAACUGAUCAAGACAUCUACGAGUGUUGAGAUCAUUGCAUUACCUUUUGAAACAUAUAAGAAUUAUCAGAAUUAAAAUAUGUCAAAUAACUUCCGAAAAGAAGCAUGACGUCAACACUCAAAGGUGUCGUUGUUCGACCUAAAAAUUCUAACUCUAAUUUCGUAUCCCUAAAUGCAAACUAAACCUUGACACAAUGGGUAUUGAAGUCGUGGUUAGUUUUUUCUAUAACUUCAAACAUUGUCUCUCAUUUUCUUUCAAUUUAUUGAAAUUCAAAACUCAAUCCAAAAAAUUAAACCUUAAAUUUAAAUGUUAUCAUUUAUGAUUUGAGAAUUAGGGUUCAAAUUCCUUGCUUAAUGCUUAUGGUUCAAUGUCUUUAGAGUUUUCAGUAACACAAACAAAUAACAUGUGAAUGUUAUUUGAAUAGAAGACCACUUUCAUUAAGAUUUUAGGGUGCUUAAUUAGUUCAAAGGCUGAAAUGCCACUAAUAUGAAGAUGAUUACCUUCAUAAUAAGUUUAAUUUAUUUUUUAUUUCGUAAUUAAUAUGUAAUGGAAUUUAAAUGUGAUAUUAAUGGAAUAUUUUAAAAAUAUAUAUUAAUGAUUACUUAAUUAAUUGUUAGAAAAAUAUUUGCACCGUAAAAAAUUUAUUAAGCAGCAACUUGAAGAGGUUUGAAAUUUUAUAGAAAAAUUAAUAAUAUUUUUGUCGAAUAGAGUUAAUAAGGCAACAAACAUGAUUUUUCCAUUAAAAUAAAAUUAAAAAUUUAAUAUGAGCUUUAAUUACCAUAUUGAUAAUAUUUUUUUAUUUUUUUAAACAUUUUAAAAAAGUAAUUUGUUGCAACAUUUCUUAUAAACUUAUGUAUUUUAAAAAGUAAAUAUAUUUGUUAAAAAAUGGUUAUAUCAAUUAAAAUGAAAUAUAUAUAUGAAUUUUGUAUAUGAAAUUUUUUUAUUCCUACAUAGAUUAUAUUAAUUAUAUUUCAUGUAAUUUUUUUAUUUAAUAGAAAAAAAGAUUUUAACUGAAAAUUAAUUUACUUCUUUUAUAAAUAUUAAAAUUUAAAUUAAUCAUAUAAUUAGAGUAAAAACAUAUGUUUAAAGAAACUCUCAGCUUCAAUCAUAUAAAAGAGGUACUUUGCUAUGAAUAAAUAACGUAAUAGUAUAUUUCUACCAAAAAUAGUAUAUAUUUUAGCCCCUAAAUUUAACAACACAUGUUUAUUUGGUACUAAUUUUUUUAUUGGACCCAAUUAAUAUUUAAAUUUAAAAUUUAUUAAUUAAAUUAGUACUUUUCUAGGCAUUUGGUUGAUGUAGCUAAAUUUUAUGUAGUAGUUAACAGAAUUUUGACAUGUGUCAAAAAAAAUGAUUAUGUAUAUCUUGAUUGCUGGGUUUUUAGAUUUAAUUAUAUUUAAACUUAAAAAUUAUUAAUAAUGUUGGUAUUUUUUAAUUAAAUGCUGAUACAGUUAAAUUUUAAGUUGACAGCCAAUAUAAUAUUGACAUGUGUCCUAAAAAUUAAAAAAAUUUAUUCUCUUUGAAUUUGGGCAAAGAUUUGUUUUAUAUUGAUGUGAAUUUUUAGUAAUUUUUUAUUUUUUUAUAAUUUCAAAAAUAAUGAGAAAUUUCUCAUUUUUAAUUCCAUAACCAACAUUAUAAAACCAUUUGACAAGGUUGAUUUUGAAUGUAUGUUUUUAGUAACUUUAUAUAUUUUUAUAAUUUUCAAAAAUAAUAAAAAAUAUUUUUGAAGGUAAUAAUAGAAAAAUAUUAUUUAUAAUAAAAUCAGGUGUUUUAAUUUUUUUUCUUAAAUUUUAAGAUUUUAUUCUUUUAUAUAUUUUCUUUAAGUACCUAAAAUUUAUUUUUAAAAUUAUAAAAAUAUAAAUUUACAAGAAAUAAAUAAAUAUCAACAAAUGAUUGUUCAAAUUCAUUUUGCAUGUAAAAAAAAAUAAAUAAACUUCUUUAAAUUAUUUUUUAAAAUUUUUUGAAUAUAUAUUUUAAAUUUUAAAGACACGUUAAUAUUCUUUUUGCUAUUAGCAUAAUAACUUAUAAGUAGAUAACUUAUCACUUAAUAUUGAAACUAUUAAGUUGAUUUUAUUUUUGAAAUAAAUUAUUUCCUCAUCUUAUUAAAUUUUAAAAUAUUUGAAUUAUUGUCCAAAACUAUUAAAAAAUAUCAUUAAUAAAAUUAAAAUUAUCAAAUAAUUUCCUUUUAAAAUUAAUAUUUACUAUUAUCAAACAAAGUAAUUACACUCAAUUCUUAAUUUUUAUUAAUAUAUCAAACAAGUUUAUACUUCAAAUUCAAUAUUUAAUUUUUUUUCAACUUAUCAAAUUCACCUGGUUUCGUUAUGUUUAAUAAACUGAAAAAAUAAAAUGCUAAAACCAUAAGUACUAAAAAUUAAGCAUUAAAUUUAAAUAAUAAAAUAUGUUUAAUAAUUUAUUUAAAAUUAAAUACUGAAUAUAAUUAAACUCUUUAAUAGAGAAUAAUAUAAUCUUGAAUAAAUGAGAUAAAAUAAAAAAGUUAUUAAAAUUAUUCUUUAUAUAAAAUAAAAAAGUUAUUAAAUUUAUUCUUUAUAAAGUAAUAAAUAAAUCCUUUCCAUCUAGGAUUAACACGUUUAAAACAUUAAAUUGCUUAAUUUUCAGUUGAUUGAUUUUUUUUUAAACAUUUUAUCAAACAAGUUUAGUUACCUAAAGAAAAUGUUAAUCAAGUUGGUAUUUGUAAUAAAAGAGGAUAUAUAUUUUUAUGAGCCAAUAAUUUAUAUUUGAUAAUUUUGACAUAAUAAAAUGUAACCCUACCACAAAUCUAAAUUAACUUAUAUUUAAAACUUUUGACACAUUAAAUUUUCUAGAAAUAAAAACAGAGCAAAAGUGAAACCUAUCUAUCUCGUUCCAGUUCAGCCAAACUUAAACUAGGAGAUUUGAUGAUGGUAAAACGCAUUUCUUAGUCACAAGAUGGCUGAAAGAGACAGACAUGAACUUAGUUCCACAGGUAGCAAAAAACACACCGUUAAUAUCUUCAAUUCUGCUCGCAAAUAGACCAUAAAAUGAGGUUUUAUCAAAUAAUACUCAAAUAUCCCAACACUAAUUAAUUUAAUGUCAUGAGACAGCAAAUAACGACCAUCUAAAGGACCGAAACAAAUUCCGACUGAAAAAAAAAAAACACAAGGCAAACUACCGCAACGGGGUAAACCCUUACCAUCAUACCCGUUUACGUGAAAGGGCCCCUAUUUUAUACAAAUGAUAAAAACCCAAAGGCACCUCCCAUGGCAUUAGGUUCACAUGUAAUUGUCUUGGUCUCACAAUAGUACCCACUCCCUCUAUAAUCAUAUUUAGUUAGACAUACCUGGCACCUCAUUCACCACGGUGAAACUCGACAGACUGUAUAACCGGACACAUCAAGGUGCCCCUGACCACAAACUUCGACCCCAAGUAUCAAUCAUAACCCCCGUUACCAACUGCUUGCUUUAUCCAACCAAGCUAUAAGACCUGAAAUUUCAGUAAACUAGAUCAGUAGAAUGAAAAUAACUGUCCGAGUUUGGGGUUAAAUCCAGCAAAAGGAUACAAACCUUCAACUGAAGUUGAAUCCACCAGAUGGAACCUUAACAUCAUUUCCUCCAAAAUGGAAACUUUGCUGAGUCCCAUCACCAGGAGGUAGUGUCUCUUCAUCCUCCUCCAACCAGUACGUCUCAAGAAUCUUGACUGCCUUCUCAUAGAUCUCAUUAUUGUCGUGACUCUGUAGAUUUUCAAUCUUUUCUAAUCCCUCAGCAUCUUCAAUUAACUGGGCACAAUAGUUAAACUCUCCAGCACCAGCUGCCUUCUCAGCUUCACCAACCUUCAAAAUGUUCUCCAACCCUUCUAGACAGACUGUUAUAAUUCUUGGAUCAGGGCAUGCAAGGAGAUCACACAAAGGUUUUAUGCAUCCUUGACUGACCAGGUACCUACAUGUCCACAUCAGGAGAAUGAUUUUCCAGUCAGUUCAAUAAGAAUGGAAUGAAGGAAUCAACAACAGAAAGGAGUUCAAGUUGAACAAACAUACUUGAUUU
rnacentral:lncRNA from 1 species